rnacentral:rRNA from 1 species
UACGUAGGGCGCAAGCGUUAUCCGGAAUUAUUGGGCGUAAAGAGCUCGUAGGCGGUUUGUCGCGUCUGCCGUGAAAGUCCGGGGCUCAACCUCGGGCGUGCGAUGGAUACUGCCGGGCUAGAGGAUGGUAGAGGCGAGUGGAAUUCCCGGUGUAGCGGUGAAAUGCGCAGAUAUCGAGAGGAACACCUGCGGCGAAGGCGGGUUGCUGGGCUGAUACUGACGCUGAGGCGCGAAAGCCAGGGGAGCGAACGGG